rnacentral:rRNA from 1 species
AUUGAACGCUGGCGGCAUGCCUAACACAUGCAAGUCGAACGGAAACACGAAGAAGCUUGCUUUCUUGCUUACGCGUGGCGCACGGGAGUGUCAUGUCUGUGACAUUCCUUGAUGACUGGGGUUAACUCCUGGAAACGGUACUUAUUACCGCUGAUAUUUUCAACCCCAAAGAGCGGGACUUACAGGCCGUCUUCCUUUCGCUUAUCCCUGAUUCCUCACUGGAUUAGCUAGUAGGUCGGGUAACGGCUGACCCAGGCGACGAUGCAUAGCCGAUCUGAGAGGAUGACCAGCCACACUGGAACUGAGACACGGUCCAGACUCCUACGGGAGGCAGCAGUAGGGAAUAUUGCGCAAUGGGCGAAAGCCUGAUGCAGCUAUGCCGCGUGUGUGAAGAAGGCCUUCGGAUUGUAAAAUACUUUUAGCGGGGAGGAAGGGAGUAAAGUUAAACCCUGUACUCAUUGACGGUACCCACAGAGGAAGCCCCGGCUAACUACGUG